GACGAACGCUGGCGGCGUGCUUAACACAUGCAAGUCGAACGGAAAGGCCCUGCUUGCAGGGUACUCGAGUGGCGAACGGGUGAGUAACACGUGGGUGAUCUGCCCUGCACUUCGGGAUAAGCCUGGGAAACUGGGUCUAAUACCGGAUAGGAGCCAUUUUUAGUGUGAUGGUUGGAAAGUUUUUUCGGUGUAGGAUGAGCUCGCGGCCUAUCAGCUUGUUGGUGGGGUAAUGGCCUACCAAGGCGGCGACGGGUAGCCGGCCUGAGAGGGUGGACGGCCACAUUGGGACUGAGAGACGGCCCAGACUCCUACGGGAGGCAGCAGUGGGGAAUAUUGCACAAGGGGCGCAAGCCUGAUGCAGCGACGCCGCGUGGGGGAUGACGGCCUUCGGGUUGUAAACUCCUUUCGCUAGGGACGAAGCUUUUUGUGACGGUACCUAGAGAAGAAGCACCGGCUAACUACGUG
rnacentral:rRNA from 1 species